AUUCCAGCUCCAAUAGCGUAUAUUAAAGUUGUUGCAGUUAAAAAGCUCGUAGUUGGAUUUCUGGCAGGAGCGACCGGUCACACACUCUGUGUGUGAACUUGCGUUGUCUCUGGCCAUCCUCGGGGAGAUCCUGUUUGGCAUUAAGUUGUCGGGCAGGGGAUACCCGUCGUUUACUGUGAAAAAAUUAGAGUGUUUAAAGCAGGCUUAUGCCGUUGAAUAUAUUAGCAUGGAAUAAUAAGAUAGGACUUCGGAACUAUUUUGUUGGUUUGCGUUACGAAGUAAUGAUUAAUAGGGACAGUUGGGGGUAUUCGUAUUUCGUUGUCAGAGGUGAAAUUCUUGGAUUUCCGAAAGACGAACUACUGCGAAAGCAUUUACCAAGGAUGUUUUCAUUA
rnacentral:rRNA from 1 species